rnacentral:tRNA from 1 species
GGGCUCGUCGUUCAACGGCAGGAUUCGUGGCCUGCACCCACGGGAUGAGGGUUCGAUUCCCUCCGAGUCCACCA